AUAUGGGUGCCAGAAGUGUAUGGGUUAGUUUUAAGUGCUAAAUAUGAGUAUUCUCCCUAUAUA
rnacentral:tRNA from 1 species